CUUGACCUUGACAUCUGACUUAGGAAAAAAUUAUCAUGGUACUAUACUUACCACUUUAAUUAGUUUUAGUGUAUGAAGUUUGAUUCUAUAUUCCAACAGACCAACCUACAUUCCGGCAUAAUAAUACUAAACUUUUUUCUUCUAAUGGCUGAAACAUGUUCCGGUGCAUCCAGAUAUGAUGUGUUCAUUAACUUCAGAGCGGAAGACACACGUUAUGAAUUUAUCCGGCAUCUCUACAAAGCUCUUUGUGACAAGGGAAUCCGUGCUUUCAUUGAUGAAGUGGACCUUCAGAGAGGAGACAAAAUAACAAAAAAACUAAAGGAGGCAAUUGAAGGGUCAAGGAUUGCCAUCACUGUGUUCUCUAAAAACUAUGCUUCUUCCUCAUUUUGCUUAGAUGAACUUGCAACCAUCCUCGGCUGCUACCGCGAGAAAACUCUGUUGGUUAUUCCUGUCUUUUAUAAGGUGGAUCCUUCUGAUGUAAGACACCAGCGAGGAAGUUAUGCAGAAGGAUUGGCUAGGCUUGAGGAAAGGUUCCAUCCUAACAUGGAGAAAUGGAGGACGGCUCUGCAGGAAGUAGCAGAUUUGGCUGGGCAACCUUUGAAAGAUGGAGCUGAAUAUGAAUACGAGUUUAUUGGGAAGAUUGCUGAUGAUGUCUUCGACAAGAUUAAUAAACAUGUGCCAUCAUCAUCUUCCUUCACCAAUGAUGUGUUCCUCAGCUUCAGAGGAGAAGAUACUCGUUACAGUUUCACUGGCAAUCUCCGCAGAGCCCUUCAUGACAGUGGAAUUCACACCUUCGUUGAUGACGAUGAGCUCCAGAGAGGGGACGAAAUAACGUCAGAACUUGAGAAGGAAAUUGAAGACUCCAGAUUUUUCAUCAUCUUUCUCUCUCAGAACUAUGCAUCUUCCUCAUUUUGCUUAAACGUACUUGCUUACAUUCUUGAGUGCGUUAAGAGAAAACGUUUGUUGGUUUUGCCAAUUUUUUACAAGGUGGAUCCUUCUAGUAUUGGAAUUCGAUUCCAUGGAGGUAGUUUUGGAGAAGCAUUGGCUAAUCAUGAAAUGAAGUUCAAAGCUAAAAUGGACGGGUUGGAGCAUAACAUGGAGAAACUGGAAAAAUGGAAGAUGGCUCUGCACGAAACAGCUAACUUCUCAGGCUAUCAUUUCAAACAAGGGGAUGGAUAUGAAUACGAGUUUAUUACCAGGAUAGUUGAAUUGGUCUCUAGCAAGAUUAAACAGGAUGCUUUCCAUGUUGGGGAUUAUCCAGUUGGACUAGAGUCAUAUUCAGAAGCAUUCAACUAUGAUGUGUUCCUCAGCCUCAGAGGCUCAGACACACUCCAUGGUUUUACUGGCUAUCUCUACAAAGCUCUUCGUGAUAGCGGAAUCCACACUUUCAUUGAUGAAGAUCUUAACAGAGGAGAAGAAAUAACACCGGCAAUUGUGAAGGCAAUUGAAGAGUCCAGGAUUGCCAUCGUUGUGCUCUCUAUAAACUAUGCUUCUUCCUCCAUUUGUUUAGACGAACUUGCAACCAUCCUUGACUGCCUUGAGAGAAAAAGAAUGUUGGUUUUACCAGUCUUUUAUAAUGUGGAUCAUUCUCAGGUGCGACUGCAGGAAGGUAGUUAUGGAGAAGCCUUGGUGAAACAUGAGGAGAGUUUAAAGCAUAGCAUGGAGAAGUUGGAGAAAUGGAAGAUGGCUCUGCAUCAAGUAGCUAACUUGUCCGACAUUAAAAUCAAACAUGGAAGUUCGUGAAUGAGAAACUUUUGAAAUUUUCAAGCGAAAAGAAGUUCGUGAAUGAGAAACCUUUGAAAUUUUCAAGCGAAAAGAAGUUCGUGAAUGAGAAACUUUUGAAAUUUUCAAGCAAAAAGUUUUAGAAAAGAUACCUGACACAUCUGGUAAGCUUAAAAUAUUGAGUGCUUUUGGUUGCAACAAGCUUAGGAGUUUUCCAACCAUCAAGUUGACCUCGCUUGAAGACCUCCAUCCUUCAUGUUAUACUUGAGAGUUUUCCAAAAAUAUCAGAAAAGAUGGAAAAUGUAAGGGAACUUCAUUUGCAGUACACUCCCAUAAGUAUGUCUGAUUAGUUGUGGAGUUGUUCAGUUACCAAGUACACUACUACAAAAAACUUAUCCUAUGAUGCAGCUUCAACUAUGGUGCUUCAAAAAACGACGUUGUUUUAGACACGGUGGCAUUUUAGUAAAUAAUAGGUGUAUUUCAAUGACAUUUAAAACGAAAACGACAUUGUAUUUGUAUUACAAAGACGUGCUCAACACACCGUCGUUGAGUUCAAUUAUUCAAAGACGGGUUUUAUGAACACCGUCCUUGAAGGGGACACUACUAGAAAAUGCAUAUUCUACAUCGGUCAGAAAGCAACGAUGUUGAACAUGGAAACUUCUACAUCAGUGGUGACGUAGGCAUUGAUGUAGUAAGAUGUGCUUUCUACAUCGUUUUACAAAAAACAAUGAUGUUGAAUAUGGGAACUUCUACAUCAGUGGUGACGUAGGUACUGAUGUAGUAAGCCGCGCUUUCUACAUCAUUUUACAGAAAGCAACGAUGUUGAAUAUGGGAACUUCUACAU